rnacentral:tRNA from 1 species
GGAGAGGUGGCCGAGCGGCUUAAGGCAGCUGUCUUGAAAACAGCCGAGGCGACGAGUCUCCGUGGGUUCAAAUCCCACCCUCUCCGCCG